rnacentral:rRNA from 1 species
UCGNNUUAGAGUUUGAUCCUGGCUCAGAACGAACGCUGGCGGCGUGCUUAACACAUGCAAGUCGAACGCGAAAAUUUUCCUCGGAAAGUGAGUAGAGUGGCGCACGGGUGAGUAACGCGUAAGUUAUCUACCUCGGCAUCCGGAAUAACUCACCGAAAGGUGUGCUAAUACCGGAUACGUUGAGUAAUCAAGAAAGGUGGCCUCUGCUUGCAUGCUGUCGCUGAAGGAUGAGUCCGCGUACCAUUAGCUAGUUGGUAGGGUAAUGGCCUACCAAGGCGACGAUGGUUAGCUGGUCUGAGAGGAUGAUCAGCCACACUGGAACUGAGAUACGGUCCAGACUCCUACGGGAGGCAGCAGUGAGGAAUCUUGCGCAAUGGGGGCAACCCUGACGCAGCAACGCCGCGUGAGUGAAGAAGGCCUUCGGGUCGUAAAGCUCUGUCGGGUGGGAAGAAACGUAUGAAGGUAAAUAGUCUUCAUACUUGACGGUACCGCCAAAGGAAGCACCGGCUAACUCCGUGCCAGCAGCCGCGGUAAUACGGGGGGUGCAAGCGUUAAUCGGAAUUACUGGGCGUAAAGCGCGCGUAGGUGGUUUGUUAAGUUGGAUGUGAAAUCCCCGGGCUCAACCUGGGAACUGCAUCCAAAACUGGCAAGCUAGAGUAUGGUAGAGGGUGGUGGAAUUUCCUGUGUAGCGGUGAAAUGCGUAGAUAUAGGAAGGAACACCAGUGGCGAAGGCGACCACCUGGACUGAUACUGACACUGAGGUGCGAAAGCGUGGGGAGCAAACAGGAUUAGAUACCCUGGUAGUCC